GAAAAUUUACUUCAAGGAGCAAGUCAGAUUGCCAGGAAAUUAUCCAUUCCCAAUGUUGCCCCAGCAGGAAGAGGGGAUCUCACCCUCUCAAGUUGAGUAAAUGGGGACGCCUGCUUCUCCUCCUCCUCCUGUUGGACAUCAGACUCCAGGUUCUUUGGCCUUAGGGCUCUGGAACUUGCACUGACGGCUGCCCAGGGAGCUUUGGGCCUCCAGCCACAGACUGAAGGAUGCACUGUUGGCUUCCCGGAUUUUGAGGCUUUCGGGCUUGGACUGAGCCACUACUGGCUUUUCUCUUUCCCUAGCUUGCAGGCAGCCUAUUAUGGGACUUCAGCUUGUAAUUAUGUGAGCCAAUUCUCCCUAAUAAACUCCCU
rnacentral:lncRNA from 10 species